AUGGUUGCAGGUUUAGCGGUCCGUCACGUCCCGUCCCCUUCUUCACCGCCGUCGAUCGCUCGCGCCGAUCUCGUCGCCGGCACCACCGUGUGCGAUGGUUUUGGUAUCCGCCCCGUCGGCCCUCGUCCUGUCUAUGAUUCGGAUGUGGAGGUUGUUGAACCGGAAAUUCCAACCGACCCUAUUGUCGAGAGGUUAAAUUUAGUUGAAGAAGAAAACAAUUUGUUGAAGGAAAAAAUUAGAAAAAUUGAGGAGGAGAAGAUGAUAUUGGAGUUGCAUGUUGCGGAUGUCGUCGAUGAUCACAAGAUCAAGAUGGAUGCAAUACGCUUGAAGAUUAGAAAGAUUAGAAAAUAUGCCAUUCAUACCGAGGCUUGGUAUCAUUAUGCCGUUGGAUCAGUUGUUACAUUGGUUGCGAUUAUGAUCGCAUUUGUUUUCGCAUUGAAAUGUUUUACAUAG
rnacentral:rRNA from 1 species